GUUCUCACAUUGGCAGCACAUACACUAAAACUGAAAUGAUACAGAGAAGAUGGCCCCUGUCCAAGGAUGACACGCAAAUUCAUGACGCAUUCUUCUAUUUA
rnacentral:snRNA from 1 species